AUUGGACCAAAAACACUCUCAAUUCUUUUUUUUCAAAAAAAAAAAUAUUUGUCUUUUUUAAAAAAUUUAAAUAUUUGUUAUAUUAUAAUUAUUUUUAUAAAUUUUAAAUCUUUAAAUAAAAAUAACUAUUUGUUUAUAUUUUAAUUUUUAUAUGCUUUUUAAAAAAUAAAAAAUAAAAUUUUUUAGGGGGCCAGCCCCG
rnacentral:lncRNA from 1 species